rnacentral:lncRNA from 1 species
CGUCACCACUCCCUCCCUCUCACUCACUCACUGUGCGAUGUAAAAUAACCAAAGUACAACACUGUUUUGUGCUCUCAGGGUGGAUCCAGGUUCAAUCAAGUAAAUUGGAGUGAUUGCAGUUACUCAGUCGUAAAUGUUUUCCGACACACCGUGAAAAUGUGUAAACUGCCGUAAAACGGCGAAACCGAUACGGGAAACUGUAAAAGGGAGACGAGGCAAUCCGUUGGAUACAGUACGGAUCGGCUUGUUCGGGCAAUGGGGAAGUUUUACUAAUCACGGGGAGUUUUGUGUGAAAAUCACAUUUCAACGUUCGCUUUCAUCCAACGGACGGCUGGGGAAGAGACCGUGCGUGAAGAAGGAUGACGUUCGGGGCAGGUUUGACCUGCUUUGGUCACGUCUCACCUGCCUUAAUCACAAGGCAUAAAACUUGCUUCGGCCCCACUGGAUCAUUUGGGAGAACAGUGUUGGACUUCGUGGCAGAGUGGAGUAGAACACGAACUGUGCACACGUUGGUCCGUAGCCCCUGGAUUGGGUUCCUGGAAUCAAAUUGUCUUGUGACGUCAGCAACAGCAGAAAGUUGCUCUCUGGGACGGUGGGUUUGUUAUUCACACUCCCAUGGACACCAUCGUUUCUUCGGGUUGCGUGCUCGAACGUUGUGCUUUUCUUUUGCCCUGGCAUCUACAAAGGACGGCACAGAAAGCAACACGUCUUCAGGCAACAGCAAGCAGAAAUCUGGAGCCGGGAGCCGACGUGCUCGGCUCGGAGGUGCCGGCCGAAACAGGGGCACUGGGUCGGAUGGGGGCGGUGCUCGCUGUCCACGUUGUGGUGAACCCUGCAUUGUGGUUGAUGGAUUUAUGUGUAAGUUCGAACACACCUUGCACAGGAAGGCACACAAGUACAGUACAUGUUCAACACAUUAUUCUUUAGUCACCAGAAUUGCUGUUUGGCCAAGAAUACCAAGAAAAAUUGUGAAAAUGAUGCUUGGCUUUUGACGGUAGAAUUUACUUUCUAAAAAAAUUUUAAAUUUACUUUUCUUUUCAAGUUGCUUCAAAUCAAGGUGAGUGAGCUGUUGCAGCGACGCAGCGACUCGCUGUUCUGGCACAUGCUCCCAUACCUGACCGGACCUGAGCUGUUGAUCAAUCUCUUUUUUUUUUUUUUGUGUUUUUUGUGAAUCCAAAGCAUUUGUACGGAGAUGAAACGUUUCGUUGCCUUGAACGAUCAUUUAUUUUGCAUGUACUGUAAGCAAAAAUUAGAAAACUACUUUAAACAACUACUAAUAACAAAGAGCCCAUCCCUACGGAUGGGAGGAAGAGGGAAAGGUGAAAGAAACAAAUUGAUGGGAAACACUGAGGAUGAUUGCACGGUGUGAGUCGGUAUUUUUAUAAACGCCUGUUGUACGGUGCCGCCAUGUGUAAUCCAGGCUGGGGAAACAUCCUGGGGGAAUUAGAUGUGAGAGUCUCAAUCACGAUGUACAAUGAUGUACAAUCUUUAAAUUUGAAACCCAGUCCCAAUGUGGCAGGAUGGUCUAAUGGGUUCUUGUCACCUCCCCAACUCAUCCGCUUCGUUUUGUUAUAACUCGUCCACAACUUUUUGAGAUAUUGUGCUGUAUAUCCUUUUUUGGCCCGAUCUCUCAAUGGUAAAGAAAUCACUUCGAAUAAUGAAAAAAAUUCUCAAAUCCAGAUCAGGAUCCCGAUCUUCACCAAAAUCGAAUCGAUCCGUCCUUGUCACACCCCCAACCUGUCCAACAAGUUUUGUUCGAAUCCGUUCAUUAAUUUUUUUGAUAUCUUGGUCACAGACAGACAAACAGGAGUGAAAACAUAACCUCUGUCCUCCUUUUGUAGUGGAGGUAAUUAUUAACUCUGCCACCAAAGGUGAAGGAGGUUGUUUUCAUGUUUUCACCCCUUUCUGUCUGUUUGUGUACACGAUGUCUCAGAGUUGUGGAUGGAUACAGAUGAAACUUGGUGGACAGGUUGGGUCUGUGACCAUGACAAAUUGAUUCGAUUUUGGUAAAGAUCUGAAUCCGGAUCUGACUAUAGUGUAGUAGAUAGUAGAAAAAUCGUGCAAAUUAUUAUACAAGCAUCAAAUUUGGCAUUUCUGUUCUGCAGGGCUUUCUGAUCCUCCCCCCAAAUCGUGCAAAUUAUUAUACAAGCAUCAAAUUUGGCAUUUCUGUUCUGCAGGGCUUUCUGAUCAAAUCUGCCCAAUUGGCCGUUUGAAAAUCCAAAUUUUGAAAAAUUUGAAGAAAAAAAAAAAAACUUCAAAACAAUUUGAAGUCACAGCUGGCUGAAAUUCUUGAAGCGCAAGUAAACAUCCCAGACAGAGAACCAAGGGGAGAUGCAGUCAUCACC